rnacentral:lncRNA from 1 species
GUCCUUUUCAGUUUUUGGCUUUGUUCAUGCAGGCACCUUCUUCACAUGGCAUUUUCUCCCAGGCUUUUAUGUUACAGACAGGAAGGAAUGGGCAUCAUCAUGGGCAUCAGACAUAUUUUGGAGGCCUUGCUAACCUGCUUACUUGAAGGUGGAAAUUAAUUAGAAGCUAGGUUACACAAGGAUGGUUUUAAGAGAAAGCAUGCAGCUUCUCAAGGCUGAGUUUUGUAAAAGACUGAAGGUUGGCUGGUGCAUGGUCCAAACCACCAACAAAGGGAAGAAACAGCUGUUGAAAUUGCAGUGAGCUCCUAUGACUAGACUGACCAGGCCUGCCCUUAGUAUGGAGACCCUCUGACUUCACCAAGGUGCAAGCGUAUGGGAGGAUGUGGAGAUGAGGCAUGCCAGAUCCAACAACUAGGUCCCGCUGACAUUCUUCUCUGUACCCUGAAGCCCUGUGCUGGUGAAAAUCCUCUUUAAGUUUAUUUUGCUACAGAUCUCUUGAAGCUGAUCUUGAAAGGCUGGGUUUUAUGAAUCACAAUGGAGCUUGUCUUUACUUGUUCGUGCACCACACACAUGAAGUUCCUCCGAAGAGAAACAUGGAUCACCAUUUUCAGUAACAGGAACAUAAUUGCAGCUUACUUUAAUUUCUGACACUUUUUAUAGGUGUGAGAGAUUUCAGCCAUAUUAACACCAGUUAAAAGGACAAAUGGCUGAGAGCUCAUCUGAGAAAAUUUUCAAUAUUUUAU